UGGGGCAAACAGCAUGUGAGGCCUCUCAUCACCCAAAGAUCGUCAGGGUUGAUUCAGCUGAUCUGGUUGUCCAGGCAAGUGUCCCCUUCCUCCCUUACUGCUUCAAGCAUGUGUCCCUCCUGAAGUUGUACACUUAGUCAAAGAUGACAAGCUGUCCCAAUACAGGAGUAUCUUGAAGAGAACAUUCCCUGACAAAGGGGAACCAGCCUUUGGUUAAGGGUAUAUGAGGAUUGUGUUCCACUGCUAGAACCUCCGAAAAAGCUCUCA
rnacentral:lncRNA from 1 species